rnacentral:rRNA from 1 species
GACGAACGCUGGCGGCGUGCUUAACACAUGCAAGUCGAGCGGUAAGGCCCUUUCGGGGGUACACGAGCGGCGAACGGGUGAGUAACACGUGGGUGACCUGCCCUCAGCUCUGGGAUAAGCCUGGGAAACCGGGUCUAAUACUGGAUAUGACCCCAUGACGCAUGUUGUGGGGUGGAAAGCCUUGUGCGGCUGAGGAUGGGCCCGCGGCCUAUCAGCUUGUUGGUGGGGUGANGGCCUACCAAGGCGACGACGGGUAGCCGGCCUGAGAGGGCGACCGGCCACACUGGGACUGAGACACGGCCCAGACUCCUACGGGAGGCAGCAGUGGGGAAUCUUGCGCAAUGGGCGAAAGCCUGACGCAGCGACGCCGCGUGAGGGAUGACGGCCU